rnacentral:lncRNA from 1 species
AAAUAAUGGCAAUGCAACUAUUGAUGCGGUGGUCUUAGAUCACGGCGAUGAUGAUGAGACAUCAAGUGAUGACGGCAAGAGGAGCCCUACAACAAACUCAGUUAUCUACUCCAAGCCAAAAAGAUGAAAUGGACAAGCAAAAGAAAAGAAUAAUAAGAAGAAGAAUAAGAAGAAGAAGAAGAAGAAGAAGAAGAAGAAGAAGAAGAAGAAAAAGAAAAAGAAGGGAGGAUAUGAUGACAUAAAUAAUUCUAUGGAGGAUAUUGUGAAGGCAACAAA